rnacentral:lncRNA from 1 species
UAGGACCCUAAUCUGAUAAUAUUGGUGGCUUUAUAAAAAGAGGAAGAUAAUCUCCUCUCUCUCUCUCUCUCUCUCUCUCUCUCCAUCACAUGAAGACACAGUGUGAAGGCAGCUGUCUGCAAGCCAGGAAGAGAGCCCUCCCCAGAACCUGACUAUGCUGGCACCCUGAUCUCAGUCUGUAUCCAUGUGGAGGCUGAGUCAAAGACAUUGAUUGCCCUGGUUCCUGGGCAGUCCAGACAGAGGACAUGAAAUCAAUAAAAUCAUCAAAAAUUUU